rnacentral:rRNA from 1 species
UGGAGGUUUCCUGCAUCUUUACAUUGGUGUUAGGAAAAACAUAUUUAGUAUAGGAGGGAGACAUUGAAGCGAAGGCGUCAGCUUUUGUGGAGUCACCAGUGAAAU